AUACGGAGGGUCCGAGCGUUAUCCGGAAUCAUUGGGUUUAAAGGGUCCGUAGGCGGGAAUCUAAGUCAGUGGUGAAAUCUUGCAGCUCAACUGUAAAAUUGCCAUUGAUACUGGAUUUCUUGAAUUAGUGUGAAGUGAUUAGAAUGCGUAGUGUAGCGGUGAAAUGCAUAGAUAUUACACAGAAUACCAAUUGCGAAGGCAGAUCACUAACACUAUAUUGACGCUGAGGGACGAAAGCGUGGGGAGCGAACAGGAUUAGAUACCCGAGUAGUCC
rnacentral:rRNA from 1 species